rnacentral:rRNA from 1 species
GACGAACGCUGGCGGCGUGCUUAACACAUGCAAGUCGAACGGAAAGGCCCUGCUUUUGUGGGGUGCUCGAGUGGCGAACGGGUGAGUAAUACGUGAGUAACCUGCCCUUGACUUUGGGAUAACUUCAGGAAACUGGGGCUAAUACCGGAUAGGAGCUCCUGCUGCAUGGUGGGGGUUGGAAAGUUUCGGCGGUUGGGGAUGGACUCGCGGCUUAUCAGCUUGUUGGUGGGGUAGUGGCUUACCAAGGCUUUGACGGGUAGCCGGCCUGAGAGGGUGACCGGCCACAUUGGGACUGAGGUGCGGCCCAGACUCCUACGGGAGGCAGCAGUGGGGAAUAUUGCACAAUGGGCGGAAGCCUGAUGCAGCAACGCCGCGUGCGGGAUGACGGCCUUCGGGUUGUAAACCGCUUUCGCCUGUGACGAAGCGUGAGUGACGGUAAUGGGUAAAGAAGCACCGGCUAACUACGUG